rnacentral:rRNA from 1 species
GACAGAGGAUGCAAGCGUUAUCCGGAAUGAUUGGGCGUAAAGCGUCUGUAGGUGGCUUUUUAAGUCCGCCGUCAAAUCCCAGGGCUCAACCCUGGACAGGCGGUGGAAACUACCAAGCUGGAGUACGGUAGGGGCAGAGGGAAUUUCCGGUGGAGCGGUGAAAUGCGCAGAUAUCAGGAGGAACACCGGUGGCGAAGGCGGGUCUCUGGGCAACAACUGACGCUGAGGAGCGAAAGCGUGGGGAGCGAACAGG